UGACAAAGGGAACAGGGAGCCAUAUGUUGGCUAUGAGAGAAGAGGAAGAGGCUCUUAAGAAGAGCUAAGAAGGAAGUUAAGAAGAGUUAGUAGGGAUGAAUAGAGAAGCCCAAAAGAGAGAGAGAGAGAGAGAGAGAGAGAGAGAUGGCAAAGGAUAAAGAAAUCAAGAUACAACAGAUAGUACAGAUGGUGAAAAGGAGAGGGGAUUUCAAAGUACUUCGAUCAAGGCUGGAGCGGAGAAAGUUUAAGAUGGGUGGCCAGAUUUACUUUGGCAAUGGAAUGAAAGAAAGCAAAUAUUGGGUGUCUGGCAGGAAUAAGAAGAAGGAUGACAGACCAACGUUAGAAGGAUUCUAGGAAAAAAGGG
rnacentral:misc_RNA from 1 species